CCUCGGACUCACUCUCUCUCCUUUCCUCACAUACGGACAAGCACAAAACUCACACUCAACGCACGGAUCGACGUUCUUAAGGUGAUAUUCUUGUUCCCUACAAGCUCCUGAGUUCAUAUAUGUCAUUUUUAGGACUUGAAACCGUGAAAAACCCGAGAAACCAUAACCUCUUAUUUGAGGUACUAUUCAUGUAAACAUAAAAUCUCAUGUUUUUGAGGAUUUCAAGCUUAUAGGUAGCUUAAGGAGGUCCUCACGAGGCUAAGAGUGGUUCAUUGGAAGAUUUUGGAUGUCGGAAUAGCAAGAACGACGAGGUUUAAGUUUGGUCGGAAUAUUGAGGCUUUUUCCGACCGCUUUCCGACGGUUUCAGGGCUCGACUCAGCUAUGGUUCGAUUCAUCUUGGUGAGAUCUUUAAAAUGAUUCAAAUUUCAU
rnacentral:lncRNA from 1 species